rnacentral:rRNA from 1 species
GUAACGACCUGGGAAACGAGAUAGCUAAUACCGGAUAACAACAGAUGAUGCCUAUCAACUGUUUAAAGAUGUUCUGCUAUCACUCUUGGGAUGGACCUGCGGUGCAUUAGCUAGUUGGUAGGGGUAACGGGCCUACCAAGGCGAUGAUACAUAGCCCGAGUUGAGAGACUGAUCGGCCACAUUGGGGACUGAGACACGGGCCCAAACUCCUACGGGAGGCAGCAGUAGGGAAUCUUCCACAAUGGACGCAAGUCUGAUGGAGCAAACGCCGCGUGAGUGAAGAAGGGUUUCGGCUCGUAAAAAGCUCUGUUGUUGGUGAAGAAGGACAGGGGUAGUAACUGACCCUUUGUUUGACGGUAAUCAAUUAGAAAGUCACGGGCUAACUACGUGCCAGCAGCCGCGGUAAAU